GGGGACGCUUGUUUUGACGGAAUUUGUUCUUUCUUAAAGCAAGAAGAGCUGAAAACCUCUUAAAACUUUUCAAAACGAUAAGUGCAAAUACUUACACCUAUCAACCAGCCCAGGCAACUGCUUUCGCUUUUGCUUGAGCCCUUCCCGAUUUAAUCGGGGACAUCCACUGCUUUGACUCCUGAUAGGAGACAGUUGGGUGCUAUAUUUUCAGGAUAGUUUAGUUUUUUCCUUGAAAACUGAACGAAAACAAAAAGGAUAGCUUUAAAAAGAUUUUGUUCGUUUUAACUUUUUAAAAGCGAAAAAAUAAACGAACUAUUCUUGUAGAUUUUUUUUAAGAAUUUUUUUCGGACGAGGGUUCAAUCUCUCCGUCUCCACAU
rnacentral:tmRNA from 1 species